rnacentral:lncRNA from 13 species
CAGUGACCCCAGUGUCCCCUGGGGCUGUGCCAGUGACCCCAGUGUCCCCUGGGGCCGUGCCCCGUGUCCCCACAGAAGCGUUUCCGCGCCGUCUACGACUACAACGCGGCGGACGAGGACGAGGUGUCGUUCCAGGACGGGGACACCAUCAUCAACGUGCAGCAGAUCGACGACGGGUGGAUGUACGGCACCGUGGAGCGCACGGGGGACACGGGGAUGCUCCCGGCCAACUACGUGGAGGCCAUCUGAGCCCGGGGACGCGGCCCGGCCCCGCCCGCGCCCGUGUCCCCUCCCCGCGUGUGCGUCUCUUGUCCCCUCCCCGCCCGCUCCGGCCUCGGAGCCAUGUCCCGAUGUCCCCUCCGUGUCCGGUUUCUCUUGCCAAUUCUGCUUCGGGGUGGCCCCGUGGGGCCUGAGGGGCCGCGCAGGGUGGGGAUCAAACCCCUGCGGCUUUCCUGCUCCUGGCUCUCCCUCCUCUCCAGCCCUUUCCCGGCCGGGGGGAGCCGCCGGAGCCGCCGGGAUCCCAGAGAAGGGGGGGAGGCCAAAUUAGGACCAAAUUCCCGCUGUGGAGGUGAGGGGUGCUCAUCCCGAGGGUGCGGGAAUGGGCUGGGAGCUCCCCCUGCUCCGCUCCAGCUCCGGCCCCGGCUCAUCCCGGGCUGCUCCCGGCUCGGGCUCAUCCUGAUGCCGCGGCUGCUCCCGGCUCCCCUGCCCAGCCUCCAUUCAAUCUUUGUUCCCUUCAGACCUCAGAGCAGGAAAGCACUCAGUUCAAGUCUCAAACAAAACCUCUCUCCUCGGGAUUCCGAGCUCUGGGCAGCCCUGGGAGCAGCCGUGGGGCUUUUCCUGGGAGCUGCUUUUCUGGCUCGAGGGCUGGGGCUGGGAUGAGCCCCCCUGGACUGGGAUGAGCCCCCCUGGACUGGGAUGAGCCCCCCCUGCAGCUCCAGCUCCCUCUGGGCCGGGGUCUGGGGGUUCCCUGGCAAAGCCUUUUCCUCUCACCCAGAAUUUUCCUGCUUUUCUCCUGCUGCUGCCGACUGCUGCCACCACUCUGGGGCCAUCCUGGGGGCCCUGUUGUCCCCUGGGUGAUGUGGCAGCCCGAGCCGCCCUGCACCUCUCAUUCCCAGCGCUGGUGGCA